UACAGAGGUCCCGAGCGUUGUUCGGAUUCAUUGGGCGUAAAGGGUGCGUAGGCGGCGGGGCAAGUCUGAUGUGAAAUCCCGGGGCUCAACCCCGGAACUGCAUUGGAUACUGCCUUGCUUGAGUACUGGAGAGGAGACUGGAAUUUACGGUGUAGCAGUGAAAUGCGUAGAUAUCGUAAGGAAGGCCAGUGGCGAAGGCGAGUCUCUGGACAGUUACUGACGCUGAGGCACGAAGGCCAGGGGAGCAAACGGGG
rnacentral:rRNA from 1 species